rnacentral:rRNA from 1 species
AGCAGCCGCGGUAAUUCCAGCUCCAAUAGCGUAUAUUAAAGUUGUUGCAGUUAAAAGCUCGUAGUUGAAUUUCGGGGUUAGUAAGUUGGUCGUGCCACUGGCAUGUACUGGCUUUACUGAUCCCUCCCUCUUGCAGAACCGUAAUGCCAUUAACUUGGUGUUGCGGGAAAACAGGACUGUUACUUUGAAAAAUUAGAGUGUUUAAAGCAGGCUAACGCCUGAAUACAUUAGCAUGGAAUAAUGAAAUAGGACGUCGAUCUUAUUUUGUUGGUUUCUAGGAUUGACGUAAUGAUUAAUAGGGAUAGUUGGGGGCAUUAGUAUUCAAUUGUCAGAGGUGAAAUUCUUGGAUUUAUUGAAGACUAACUAUUGCGAAAGCAUUUGCCAAGGAUG